CAUGACCCAGAGAUCUUGUGAAAAGGCAGAUUCUGAUGCAGUGAGGCUCAGAGUCUGCAUUUCUACCAGGCUCCCACGGAAGGCCGAUGCUGC
rnacentral:miRNA from 1 species